UACGUAGGGUGCAAGCGUUGUCCGGAAUUAUUGGGCGUAAAGGGCUCGUAGGCGGUGCGUCACGUCGGGAGUGAAAACUCAGGGCUCAACCCUGAGCGUGCUUCCGAUACGGGCGGACUAGAGGUAUGCAGGGGAGAACGGAAUUCCUGGUGUAGCGGUGGAAUGCGCAGAGUAUCAGGAUGGAACACCGGUGGCGAAGGCGGUUCUCUGGCAUUACCUGACGCUGAGGAGCGAAAGCAUGGGGAGCGAACAGG
rnacentral:rRNA from 1 species